rnacentral:misc_RNA from 1 species
AACACUGUUAACCUGCGGUACCUGCGGAAGGAUCAUUACCGAGUUUACAACUCCCAAACCCCUGUGAACAUACCUAUACGUUGCCUCGGCGGAUCAGCCCGCGCCCCGUAAAAAGGGACGGCCCGCCCGAGGACCCCUAAACUCUGUUUUUAGUGGAACUUCUGAGUAAAACAAACAAAUAAAUCAAAACUUUCAACAAUGGAUCU